UGGUGGGCGGGACUUAUAGGAAGUAUAUUACUGAAUGACGCACCGACACCCGCCGGGAAUGGUUACUCAUUCGAGCGAUCUCGUCUCUCCCCUCUCUCCAUGUCUCGGACCCCGAUGUACAGCAUGCCUCGGGCCAGAGACCCCUAUGCUGACAGGGCGCCGCCUCCUCCACCUGCGCGCUACUCGUAUUAAAGUGCACCACUGCGCUUUUGUAAUCCAAGGUGUAAAUUAUUCAACAAGAUCGUCGUCGUUGUCUCCAGGUGCACGUGCCGCGAUACGUCUUUGUCUGCCAGAGCGCGUUUCGUUCGCCUGCGCACCAUAGUGGAAGAGUUCUGUUGCGGACUGCACAUUCUAUAAAACUACCGCUUUUACACGCAUAAAAACGUCAUGCUAAAUUGUCAAUUCUGCUUUAUUUUUUUGCCUUGUUUUUAUUGUUUAACAUUGGAUAGGUGAGAGAAGCACUAAGCCAGAGUACGUAAAUUAGGUUAACUUGGUGGUUUGGUAAAGACUAUUAAAGGAACGCUUAUAAAAAUUAUUCUUUCAAAGAACACUUCAAUGUAUCACACUGUACCUUUUUACCUUUAAAAUCUGGAAUGAGGUUAUCGUUUGUUAUUAAACUACUGUAACAAGCGCUAUGAAAAUUUUAAUUUGAAAUUCAUUUGUGUAAAGCUUUUCUUUAUUUUAUCCUCUUUAUUUUAUUUUUUUUCUCCCCCCCCCUCUCCAAGCUAUUUGUUAGUGCGGCAUGCAAGUAAGAAUACAGUCUUCGCAGCAAUAAAACCUUUCCGUCUACUGGCUUUAUUGAAAUUGUGCUGUAGUGUUCAUUUUUAAUUGCAGAGUAUCGAAGUUAAAGGACUUUGUAUCAUUUUCUUUCAUAGGAACACUUGAAAGUUUUAAUAAAAAGACUGGAACUUGGUCCAUCGUUUUGCUUUUCUUGCCAACCUUUUAAACUCAAUUUGCCUAAAUAGGCAUGAAAGUAACUAUAUAGCCUAGAGUUUGACAUUCGAAUUAAAACCCAUAACAUCUUGCUUCCUAGUUUAGAAGUAUUACGGAUAAUGGAACCGCUUCUGUGGCGAAAUGAAAACGAUUACAUCACUUCGUCUUCAAGGCUAUUCUUUUGCCCUAAACCAUUGGCGUCUCUCUAUUCCUGGUCUGUGUCCAAAUAAUCCUGUCAUUCUGAUUCAGAAAGUGGGUAGACUUCACAAUAUUUCCUUAAUCAGUGGUCCUUUUUAAGUUUGAUUGUGCCAGGUAAGUCACUUGAUUUAGUUUCUUUACAACUCUGCAUGCCUUUUAUAUACUUAAUUGUUUCAAGGUAUAUCUUAAGUACAGAGACUGCAUACGUGUCUCAAUGACAUGUAUUUGGAUCCAAAUGUUUUGCAAGUGAUAUAUUUUAGGAUUAUAGUUUUAUAUUUUAGGUUAACUUUUAUGCACCCCCCCCCCCUACAAUAAAACGUGUUAUGACUGUUCAUUCAUUUACCUGUGGGACACCAAAUGAAUGUGCCGCCUCCGGCAAUGAUCUCAGCAUAAAAACUUUGAUUUUAUUUUUCCUUUUAAGGUGAUUGCACUUUCAAUAAAGCUUUUUUUUUCCUGCCCAA
rnacentral:lncRNA from 1 species